GUGAUUUCUGCCCAGUGCUCU
rnacentral:siRNA from 1 species